rnacentral:rRNA from 1 species
GAUGAACGCUGGCGGCGUGCCUAAUACAUGCAAGUCGAGCGAACAGGUGAGGAGCUUGCUCCUCUGACGUUAGCGGCGGACGGGUGAGUAACACGUGGAUAACCUACCUAUAAGACUGGGAUAACUUCGGGAAACCGGAGCUAAUACCGGAUAAUAUAUUGAACCGCAUGGUUCAAUAGUGAAAGACGGUUUUGCUGUCACUUAUAGAUGGAUCCGCGCCGCAUUAGCUAGUUGGUAAGGUAACGGCUUACCAAGGCAACGAUGCGUAGCCGACCUGAGAGGGUGAUCGGCCACACUGGAACUGAGACACGGUCCAGACUCCUACGGGAGGCAGCAGUAGGGAAUCUUCCGCAAAGGGCGAAAGCCUGACGGAGCAACGCCGCGUGAGUGAUGAAGGUCUUCGGAUCGUAAAACUCUGUUAUUAGGGAAGAACAAAUGUGUAAGUAACUAUGCACGUCUUGACGGUACCUAAUCAGAAAGCCACGGCUAACUACGUG